GCGGGCUCCUCCUCCGUGCGCGGCGGCGGCGGCAUCAUCCGCGUCCCCGUCCCCUUCCCAGGGUGCUCCGCGGGUAAACAGCGAUGGCCGCCGAGGAGGGAGGCGGCGAGCCCCGCCACGACAUGGGGAACCACCUGCAGCUGGUGCCUGCAGAGAGUGAGGAAGAGGAUGACAAUGAAAUGGAAGUUGAAGAUCAAGAUAGUAAAGAAGCUGAAAAGCCAAAUGUCAUUAAUUUUGACACCAGCUUGCCAACAUCACAUGUGUAUUUAGGUUCUGAUAUGGAAGAAUUUCAUGGGAGAACAGUACAUGAUGAUGACAGCUGUCAGGUGAUUCCAGUGUUGCCUCAUGUGAUGGUGAUGUUGAUUCCUGGACAGACGUUGCCUCUUCAGCUUUUUCGCCCUCAAGAGGUUAGCAUGGUGCGGAAUUUAAUUCAGAAAGACAGAACAUUUGCUGUUCUUGCAUACAGUAAUGGACGUGAAAGGGAAGCACAGUUUGGAACAACAGCGGAAAUAUAUGCAUACCGAGAAGAGCAGGAAUUUGGAAUUGAAACUGUCAAAGUGAAAGCAAUAGGAAGACAAAGGUUCAAGGUGCUUGAAAUAAGAACCCAGUCAGAUGGAAUCCAGCAGGCUAAAGUACAGAUCCUUCCUGAGCGGGUGCUGCCUUCAACAAUGUCGGCAAUACAGCUGCAGUCUCUCAGCCGAUGCCACGUAUUUCCUUCUUCGAAACCUACAGCAUGGCAGGACCAAGCCAUACAUCAAUGGUGGCAGAAAUAUCAAAAGAGGAAGUUUCACUGUGCAAGUUUGACAUCUUGGCCUCCCUGGCUCUACUCUUUAUAUGAUGCUGAAACCUUGAUGGAAAGAGUCAAGAGGCAGCUACAUGAAUGGGAUGAAAAUCUUAAAGAUGAAUCUCUACCAACAAACCCAAUAGAUUUUUCUUACAGAGUUGCUGCCUGCCUGCCAAUUGAUGAUGCAUUACGUAUACAGUUGCUUAAAAUAGGUAGUGCUGUUCAGAGACUCCGAUGUGAAUUAGAUAUUAUGAACAAAUGUACAUCUCUCUGUUGUAAGCAAUGCCAAGAUACAGAAAUAACAACCAAGAAUGAAAUAUUCAGUUUAUCCUUAUGUGGACCCAUGGCAGCAUAUGUGAAUCCUCAUGGGUACAUCCACGAAACCCUUACUGUUUAUAAAGCUUGCAACUUGAAUCUCAGUGGACGACCAUCAACAGAGCACAGCUGGUUUCCUGGGUAUGCAUGGACUAUAGCCCAGUGCAGAAUCUGUGGGAACCAUAUGGGCUGGAAGUUCACAGCUACCAAAAAGGAUAUGUCACCUCAGAAAUUCUGGGGACUGACGCGGUCCGCUCUCCUGCCCAGGAUUCCAGAAACAGAGGAUGAAUCAGGCCAGGAUAGAUCACCGUUGCUCUGCUUGUAAUCUAGUAACCUGCUUUGGAAACAAACAGGCAGUAGUCUGCCUCUUACACCAGUCUGCACAGUUCUGCUUCUGAUACUUACUUAAAAAGAACCACACCCACACAAAAAAACAACCAAACAAGCAAGCAGGCAUCACUACAUUUGGGGUUGGUGUGCAUACAUGUUACUGUUGCUUGAGACACACUGAGAAUUGCAGGUUGAAUCUUUAAAAUGACAGCUUGGGAGAGAAGGUAGCAUGAGACACCAGGAAACUGAUCUGAUUCAUCUGGACAGGUUUGACUCUGAACUUUCUACUUCUGCAUAUAAUUUCAGAAAAUGUUUACCACUAUUGACCUACAGUGAAAGAAGGGGGGAAAACUAAAAUUACAGUUAAACAAGGUGUGAUUUAUGCUAUUUCUGUAUGAUGGUAGAUACCAGUUAUUCACUGGAGUAUUUUCCCAUGAUACACUUAGUGUUUUUGCAGAGAAUCCCUGUUUCUAACUGUGUGUAAUACGUCCAAUUUUAUGCUCGUGUUGAUUCUCAAAUAUUUGCUUAAUAACCAUCAAAGAAAGUUAAGGGCUGAAAUCUCUAUUCUGAUGGGUGUUGUGUUAGUAAUGUGAUCCUAGUCACAGUGCUGCAGCGAGCACAAACAAGAGCUUCCUGCUACCUGUAGCCAGAACAAUUAUAUUACAAAAUUCCCAUUGAAAGAAAUCCUAUAUGAAGUAUUCGGUCCUUAUAAGUUAUUUGAUAUAUUUAGCAUGUUUGCCUUUGGAUGUCUUUUAAAAUUUAAAUUAUUUACGCUAAAUACACAAGUUGAUCCCAGUACCUAAACUAUAUUUUCCAUUCCCAUUAAUAUGUUUACAUUCACUUUUCAAAUGAUCUCUCUGAAGCCUUGUUUACCUGUAUAGAUGCCCAAGGUUCUAUAGGUUCUAUGAAGUAAUUCUCUGAAAUAACUAACUAUAGAGACUUUUCACUACUAUGUAUUUUGACAUGGUGGAGGCAACAUACCUUUUUUUUUUUUUUUUUUUUUUUUUUUUUUUUUACACGUAAGAUGAAAUUUUACACUGUUACCACACACCUGAUAAAAGGCAAGUUUCUAAAUAAAGCAGAUAUAAAAGGCAGUAGUUUUCUUUUUAUUUUCUUUCCCUGAGGUGCUGUCUCUGCUACAGAAAUGGGUGCCAAAAUGGGGCAGCUUUUGCUGCUGAUUUCCCCCCACCCCAUCUCCUCCAAAUGCACUUUGGCACAAACUGAAGACAACAGAUUUCUUCUGUAUGUGUGUGUACAUACAAACUUUUUCCCACCCUUUUCAUGUUUUUUUUAAUUCAGUCUAUUUCCUUAAUGUAAAUCUUUGAGAACUUGUGUUGUUAAAGAGAAUGACACAAAAAUACUUAAGAUGUGAACCACUCUUUGCCCCAUCCCCAUCCACAGCCAUACAUCAAAUGUAUGUAGCAUGGACAUACUACUUCAGUGAAAGGCUAAAGUCAAACGUCUUCUAAAAGACAAGUAGUUGAUUAAAAUGAUAAUGUGAUGUCUGUUGCAUUGCAGCUGAAAAAUCCAGAUGUGAAAAGAUGCUAGAUGCUGAGAAGCUGUUAGGAUACUUAUACUAGGUAUGUAGAAACUAAUGAUUGUGCAACUCAGGUUUAGUUCUUUGAAGCCUUCUACCUCUGUGCUUCUCUGAUAACUUUUGUUCCCUCUGUAGACAUCUUUAAUACAGUGUUUAAUUUUGUGUGCAGUGCUCGGACUUGCCAGUGAGCUGUGAAAAGCAAUACUUCUUUUAAUAUAAUUCUGAACAAGCAGAGGGUCUGCAAGUCCUGAUGCCUUCAGCAGCGUUCCUCGCAUCACUGGUUCACCUCUGAAGAGAAGCCAGUAGGAAACUAGCUGAGGUGGCUGUAGGGCGAGUGUGGAGCUGGUAGCUCUGGCGAGGCUGUGAGGAGAAACUGCUCGACGGCUUUGCAGGACAGCUCAACAAGGGCGUUUCCAUGAGCAGGAGGAAAAGGCUGAGCCCAGCAGUGAGGUGAAGUGGGGCGAAGCUGAGGCUGGCGAGGAAGGGACCCGGAAGGUGGUGUACGUGCAGCAGCUCUGUAUGUUUGUCUUAUUAACAGAGAAAAACAGCAUUGUUUUUUUCAUUCCUUGCUGUCUUCCCGAAGUCCUUAAGUACCUUCAGAAUAACUUAUGUAAGCUAGUCUGCAGAAGUCUUCCUGCAGAAGAUGGAAUAAGAGGCAGAGGAACACGCAGAAUAGAGGAAGCAACACUUGGGAAAUCAGGAGUAAGAACAGGAAACACUAGGAUCAACUUCCUCACAUUACAUGAAGAUAUAAGCAGCCUAUACUAUCUUUUCUAACAAUGAUUCAGCAGCAUAAAAGGUUACAGAGGUAAUAUGCACAAAAACAUGCUAACUCUGAACAUAAACCAACCCUCGCAGUAAUGGUUCCAUGUUUUUCUCCUUUAUUAUUGAUCAGACGAACACCAGCAGACGUGAACAUCUCUUUCAUCUCUGCUGGCGUUGCCGUAGUGGCAAAAUCUACAUCUUCUGGUUUCAUCCCGCUAAGCAAAUCCCUCACGGCACCUCCUGCUAUUCUCAGCUCAUAGUUCUUCUUCUCAAACAGUUCUGAGAAGGAAAGGAAAACCAUAAAACAGUUUCUAAAAUAAAAAGAAAACAGCCUGUCAACUAUUACAGGUUAAGUUCAUACAGAGUAAACUGCUGUGCUGAACCAGCAAUGUGCCCGGUAUGUGUUCCUGUGAACCUGGAUGAGUUCGCCACGACAGAUCUUUCUUGCGGCUAGCCCUGCACAGACUCAGGUCACCCUACGCACCCACGUUUCCCAAAGCGCAACGGCUGCUCCGAGAACACUAAUUCACCGUUCGAGCUAUGAUGAGGAGCACGGGCCUUUCUGACACCCUAAAUAUUCAUGUUUUUGCUAACGUGACACUGGGAGACUCGGAGAGGCAGAACGUUUCCGGCAACCGGUAAUGCAUGAGGGCCUAGACCAGCUCUCAUAGCACCUCCCUAUUCCUGUGGAAAAGGUAACUCACUCACAAAACCUGAUGAUUUCGAAAGAGCAGAGCCUGGAGGAAGAACUCAUCCAAAUUCCAGUUAAAUUGGGAGAUUAGUCCACUUUGAAGUUCCAAGCCUAAACAAAUCUGUCUCAGCAAAAAGAGUGCUACAUGUUUCUUUAGAACUGAAAAAGAGAUGCUACACAGAAGCUACCCAACCUUUUCCACAGCUUUUAAGUAACUAAAAAAAUCAGCACCUUACUGUGCAAGGAAGCAGGAAUGCUUGCAAGUACAAAAGUUCUUUUUGAGAGUGACCUAUUCAAAAAAAAAAAAAAGAAGAAGAAGAACUCAGAUCUAUAAUAACACGUAGUCAGAUCUGAAUAAAAAGUACCUACCAACCACCUCUGUACUUAAAAGACAGCGGUUGUAAAAAACCCACAGGGAGAUGACCCAGAGAAUGUUUUAACAAAGUAGACUUCGCAA